AUAAUGGGUCAGCGACUUAUAUUCUGUAGCAAGGUUAACCGAAUAGGGGAGCCGGAGGGAAACCGAGUCUUAAUUGGGCGUUAAGUUGCAGGGUAUAGACCCGAAACCCGGUGAUCUAGCCAUGGGCAGGUUGAAGGUUGGGUAACACUAACUGGAGGACCGAACCGACUAAUGUUGAAAAAUUAGCGGAUGACCUGUGGCUGGGGGUGAAAGGCCAAUCAAACCGGGAGAUAGCUGGUUCUCCCCGAAAGCUAUUUAGGUAGCGCCUCGUGAACUCAUCUCCGGGGGUAGAGCACUGUUUCGGCUAGGGGGCCAUCCCGGCUUACCAACCCGAUGCAAACUGCGAAUACCGGAGAAUGUUAUCACGGGAGACACACGGCGGGUGCUAACGUCCGUCGUGAAGAGGGAAACAACCCAGACCGCCAGCUAAGGUCCCAAAGUCAUGGUUAAGUGGGAAACGAUGUGGGAAGGCCCAGACAGCCAGGAUGUUGGCUUAGAAGCAGCCAUCAUUUAAAGAAAGCGUAAUAGCUCACUGGUCGAGUCGGCCUGCGCGGAAGAUGUAACGGGGCUAAACCAUGCACCGAAGCUGCGGCAGCGACGCUGAUGCGUUGUUGGGUAGGGGAGCGUUCUGUAAGCCUGCGAAGGUGGCCUGUGAGGGUUGCUGGAGGUAUCAGAAGUGCGAAUGCUGACAUAAGUAACGAUAAAGCGGGUGAAAAGCCCGCUCGCCGGAAGACCAAGGGUUCCUGUCCAACGUUAAUCGGGGCAGGGUGAGUCGACCCCUAAGGCGAGGCCGAAAGGCGUAGUCGAUGGGAAACGGGUUAAUAUUCCCGUACUUGGUGUUACUGCGAAGGGGGGACGGAGAAGGCUAUGUUGGCCGGGCGACGGUU
rnacentral:rRNA from 1 species